UGAAAGCAGCGGGCUAAAUCAACACCACAGGCCCCGUGAUCAAUAUAUGUGAUGAGGACAUUACAUCCUGGUGUUGUUGCCCCAAGUCUUGACGUGAAUCUGACCACAAGGACAAUUCGGACAACCUGAAAUGGUGACGCAUUCUACAAAAUAAACAUCAAUGUCAUGAAAGACAAAGACUCAAGAUUUUCUGCUUAAUGGAGACUAAAGAGAUGCGACAACAGAAUGCCAGGCAUGAUCUUGG
rnacentral:lncRNA from 1 species